rnacentral:misc_RNA from 1 species
UUUCCGUAGGUGAACCUGCGGAAGGAUCAUUACUGAGUGAGGGCCCUCUGGGUCCAACCUCCCACCCGUGUUUAAUCGUACCUUGUUGCUUCGGCGGGCCCGCCUCACGGCCGCCGGGGGGCCCUGCGCCCCCGGGCCCGCGCCCGCCGAAGACACCAUCGAACGCUGUCUGAAGUUUGCAGUCUGAGCAGAUUUAGCAAAAUCGUUAAAACUUUCAACAACGGAUCUCUUGGUUCCGGCAUCGAUGAAGAACGCAGC